rnacentral:lncRNA from 1 species
GCAUUGGAGUUCAUUUGACAUGGAUGCCAUCAUAUAGCAUUUUACUCUAAUGUCAUCAUCCAACUACUUUUUAUGCAUCUCACGCUGAACAUCAGUAGAACGUGUUGGUAGUGUGGGUGUUGCCCAAGGUGACAACCCAAGAGGGGGGGUGAAUUGGGUCUUUUAAAACUUUUAAACUACUUCUAAAACUUUUUGAUUAACUAUGCUAAGUUGUCUAGAUGCACAGUGAAAGUUAAACUUAGCAAGGGUUUGAUGUAUAGACUUCGACUUGAUUAAAUAUGCUUGCAACUAAAGGAUGUGCGGAUAAGAAUUAAGCAAGCAAUUUAUCUAAGUAAGUAAGUGUGUUAGUUAGACAAUAACUAGAGGCAUUACAAA